rnacentral:lncRNA from 1 species
AAAUGGAUACUACUUGCCAAAAUACAUGGAUAUCACAUCAUCAUUUUACUAUGUCUUGGAAACUUUUUCAUUAGGCAAUAUUUUGUGGGCUUUAUGACACCUUAAUUUCUCAGGUUUCGUUAGGGAAAAAAAAAAAAACAUCUUAAGAGAUAUUCCAGUAAAUGAGCAUCUCCAAAUAGCAAUAAUUGAAUAACAUAACAAAAAUUUAAUCUCAUUCUUAUUUCAAAUCUGCAUAAAAGAUCUUUGAAGGUCGGGUUCUAAAAAAUUUUGGGUUCAGGCAACGGUUUUUCUCUGUUGCCUGUUUUGUGUAAAAACCCAAGCAUUGGCGGGUUAUACCUGUCGUUAGAGAAGGGCUAAAUUUGCUAAAAUACCAUAAAAAUUGAAGUGCCAAAUAAUUGAUAGAUUUCUAAAUGAGCUUCCACAUAUUUAAGCUCUCCUUGAUAGGAGGAGAAUGAGUCAUCACUUUACCCUCUUACGACUACUGUUCAUAGUGAAUAGUAAGCACAACUCAACUGCCUUGUCCUUUCCCUUGAUCUCUUAAAACGGGUGGACUUGAUCUUCCUCGAGCGCAUACAAAACAGAAGUUUGAAUGUUAUCUUCACCAAGGGUUAGGGUAGGGGCCACACUCACAAAGUCUUUUCCUCCCAUGAAACCGUCACUACUACUAGUACGGUUAGUAUAGAACCAUAUUGACGCAAAUCUUUCCGGUACAUCAAUAUAAGCACGGAAAAUAAAGGUCUCGAGACAUACAACAAUUUCAAGAAAUCUUGCUUCUUUACCUGCGCCUCUAAAAACUAACGGCAAUCAAUGAGAACUUAUCUGGCAUGUAGGAAUCCUUAAUGAUGAUGUCAAUAAGCUCUUUGGCGCUUUUGUAAGGAUGUGGACUCACUCUAACAUCUUUUAAACGUUCACAGAGAACUUGCAGGUUGCUCCAACUUAGAAUGCACUGUCAGCUGCAUGUUCCUCAAGUUUACGGAUUUCAUCUAAUUAACGGUACAAGAGUUGGAGGAACAUAGGAGCUAACGAAACCACGUGGUCUUUUGUGAUUGCCAAGGCCAGAGGAAUCACUCACUCAUGAAAACAAGCUUGACUAUUCAUUAGACGAUGCUACGUUUACCAUAUAUUUGUACUAUUAUUGUAUCAUCUCUCUAAUAAAGAUAAGAUCCAUAUGCGUUGGCAGACCUUUUUCUCUAUUAAAAAGAUGGUAUAAAUAGUAAGUGUAGCAUUACUCGUAAAUAACUUACAAAGAAUCUUUUGACCUCUUUUGUGUAGUGUCUUUUGAUUGAUGGACCACUCCAUGAACCACAUGUUUUGCUGGAAUAAGUGUUGCAUGCCCUUUUUGGAAAUCUUGAAAGUACUUCGUCCUGAAGAUUAAAAUUGUCCAAAAAGUGGGUUUUUUUAAGUAGUUUUCUUCCAAAGGUCCUAAGGAUCCCGUGAUCUCAUCCGUUCAUCAUAUAUCGUACGAUCAAUUUUGC